GUCAACAUCCAUACCACCCUGAAUGUGCCCAAUCUUUUCUGAUCUCAGAAGUUAAGCAGGGUCAAGCCUGGUUAGUACUUAGAUGAGACACCACCUGGGAAUACCAGGUGCUAUAGGCU
ensembl:rRNA 5S_rRNA 5S ribosomal RNA